CAGAGAUCUUCUAGUUAAAACCAUGAGAGGAGCUGUCUAGGGGAGAGAGAGCCCCAGGGUGAUCAGAGCCCUGCAGAAGAGCCAUGCUCAGAGGCACAUUUGGAAGACACAGCAAAUAGCUGCUACCCUUUCCUGUUUCCUGAGGACAUUUCAACAUGACUUCGAGCACAGUUAAAGUGAACUGCCAAGGUUAAGCGAGCUUUCCUUCCUUACGGAAUCUCCCAGCCCCUAAUUCUAUAAUACUACUCGCUUAGUUUGGCUGUGGUGAAACCCACCUUGUCCUCUACUAAAGAUAUGGAACGAAGACCUCGUCAGUCAAUCUUCCAUGAUCCCGGCCACCGCAAUUGGCUCAGGUCGUUGCUGCCAUGAAGUAAGAGUCUGUCUGGAAAUGAAGGCGAGCAGAGGCCACAAAGCUGAGACAUGGAGACAGAGAGAGUCCUGAUGUUAUUAUUUGAACCAUUGAGUCCAGCUGUGCCUGAAACUCUUCAGUGAGCCAAGAAAUUCCUUUUUGGCUUAAGCCAAUUGGAGUCGUGUUUGUGAUACUUGCAAAUGAAAGGAGUUAUUGACUAAUAAAACUGCCAUUUCUAUCUCUCCAAGAAUUAGGAAAUACUUCUUUAAAACUGUUUAUUUGCAGUAUGCUUUAUUCCUUCCCACAAAAAAGAGGCAGCUUAUAAAAGUAAAUAUGAAAAAUAGGCACAAAGGGUGUAUAAUACAUGAAAUACAUGUGUAUAUGUCUAGCACAGUCUUUAUAUUAAGUUGACAAAAAUUAUUAUUAUUAUUAUUAUUUUUGCAACAGAGUUUCACUCUUGUCACCCAGGCUGGAGUUCAAUGGCAUGAUCUCGGCUCACUGCAACCUCCACCUCCUGGGUUCAAGUGAUUCUCCAGCUUCAGCCUCCCGAGUAGCUGGAAUUACAGGUGCCCGCCACCACCAGCCCAGUUAAUUUUUGUAUUUUUGGUAGAGAUGGGGUUUCACCAUGUAGGCCAGGCUGGUCUUGAAUUCCUGACCUCAGGUGAUCUGCCUACCUUGGCCUCCCAAAGUGCUGGGAUUACAGGCGUAAGUCACUGCACCUGGCCCAAAAAUUAUUUUUUAAGUUACAGUACGAACUACUGCUGAGGGUGCUGGGUAAUUAACAUUGUUGGAGAAAUUAUAAACUGGUGCAAACCUUCUGGAGAUAAAUUUGACAAUGCUUAUUCAUAUCCAUUGUUUGUCUAUAAUCAACCAUUCUUCUUUUAGGAAUGCAUCUGAAAGAAAUAAUUACAUAAAUAAGGAGAUAUGCAAAGAUUUAGCUAUGAGAAUGAUUGUUUAAUCACCAGAAGUUGGAAAACAGCCUGAAUAUCCAAUGACAUAAAAACAAAAUUGGCGGGGCGCGGUGGCUCACGCCUGUAAUCCCAGCACUUUGGGAGGCCGAGGCGGGCGGAUCACAAGGUCAGAGAUCGAGACCAUCCUGGCUAAGACGGUGAAACCCCAUCUCUACUAAAAAUCAAAAAAUUAGCCGGGCCUGGUGGCGGGUGUCUGUAGUCCCAGCUACUUGGGAGGCUGAGGCAGGAGAAUGGCCUGAACCCAGGAGGCGGAGCUGGCAGUGAGCCGAGAUGAUGCCACUGCACUCCAGCCUGGGCGACAGAGAGAGACUCUGUCUCAAAAAAAAAAAAAAAAAAUUAUCUGUCCACCAAUUGGAAUACCAUGUAUUUAUUAAAAUAAUGAUGUGGAAUUUUAUUUACUGACUUGGAACAAUAUUCAUAUAUUGUGAACUGGCUUUGGACUAAUACAUUUAAAUUCUCCCUAGGCUGACUGGGCGCGGUGGUCCGUGCCUGUAAUCCCAGCACUAUGGGAGGCUGAGACGGGUGGAUCACUUGAGAGCAGGAAUUUGAGACCAGCCUGGCCAAGAUGGUGAAACUCCAUCUCUACAAAAAUACAAAAAUUAGCCAGGCAUGGUGGCAUGCACCUGUAAUCCCAGCUACUCAGGAGGCUGAGGCAGGAGAAUCGCUUGAACCCGGGAGGUGGAGGUUGCAGUGAGCCGAGAUUGCACCACUGCACUCCACCGUGGGUGACAGAGUGAGAUGCUGUCUCAAUAAAAUAAAAUAAAACAAUUAAUUCUCCCUAGGCUGCAGCAAGAAUCGAAUGAAUCACUCUUAACCCCAUGCCAAACAAACAAACAAACAAACAAAAAAACCCUACUUGUUGGUUGUGGGCCUUAAAAAGAGAGCUGUAUAGAAGUGGCAAAAAUUAAGUUUGUGUAUCCUUGCUUGGGUCAAAUUUGGCUGUCCAUAGAUAUGAGGUUAAUUUUUUCCUGUUAGAGCAUGUGCUGGUUCUAUCUAUACAUGCUCCAAUUUUCAAAUAUUUCACUAAUAUUAGGAGAUUAUCUGUUGGCAUUGAGUUGGGUCUCAAAGUAUCAUCUAUUCUAGACCAAUGGUCACCAAAAUGUAUGUAUCCUCAAAAUAAAGCACUGGU
rnacentral:lncRNA from 10 species